rnacentral:rRNA from 1 species
CACACACGCCCGUCGCUUCAUCGAAGUUGGUUUUAGGCGAGGUGGUGCGAUAUUGGCAUUAUCGAACCUGAGAUCAGCAACGAGGGAG